UACGUAGGUGGCAAGCGUUGUCCGGAUUUAUUGGGUUUAAAGGAUGCGUAGGCGGUCUUUUAAGUCAGUGCUGAAAUACUCCAGCUUAACUGGAGGGGUGGCAUUGAUACUGGAAGACUUGAGUGUAGUCGAGGUAGGCGGAAUUGACGGUGUAGCGGUGAAAUGCUUAGAUAUCGUCAAGAACACCGAUAGUGAAGACAGCUUACUAGGCUACAACUGACGCUGAGGCACGAAAGUGUGGGGAUCAAACAGG
rnacentral:rRNA from 1 species